CCAGAGCAGCUCUUGCGCUCGCUCCCUGCAGGAGGAUCCUUGUGAUCAAGGAGUUCUCAGCAGACGGCCUGCACCCCGAGAGGAGUCUUGGUUUUUCCCUUGGGUGGCAUUCAGUGUGCAAACCCGCACGGCGCUGCUAAGAUGAUCCAGCAAGUCUGUGCCGCGGUUUGCACCGUCUUUUCUCUUGCUUAUUCUGGCUACUACCUGACCCAGCUGACUCGUCACUUCACGCGCAGAUGGAGGCAAGCCUGUCCUUUGGGCUCAGCAGCAGGGUCAGCACCUCCUCUGGCUCCCUCUCUUGUUGAGGAAGAGGCUGAAGAGGAGCAAAGGAGCACCAAGCCUCCACCUGCAGUCCCUCCACAGC